UUUUCAUUCUUUCACACUCUCUCACCGGUCAGAGAGGCGAGAGAGUGUGCGAAAUGAAGAGA
rnacentral:pre_miRNA from 1 species